UACGUAGGGUGCAAGCGUUGUCCGGAAUUAUUGGGCGUAAAGAGCUCGUAGGCGGUCAGUCGCGUCUGCUGUGAAAACUCGGGGCUUAACUCCGGGCCUGCAGUGGGUACGGGCUGACUAGAGUGCGGUAGGGGAGACUGGAAUUCCUGGUGUAGCGGUGAAAUGCGUAGAUAUCAGGAGGAACACCGAUGGCGAAGGCAGGUCUCUGGGCUGACACUGACGCUCAUGCACGAAAGCGUGGGGAGCAAACAGG
rnacentral:rRNA from 1 species